GCCAAGCUAGCUACAUGGAGAGGUCACAAGGAAAGAGACAUUUCCAAACAGCGCUCAGCUGUCUGCUACCCCAGCCUGAGAGCCAGACAGAAGACUACAGACUCUGCUCACAGGAAGAACCUGGCACCAGUUAUUUUCCCUGCUGGCCUCAAUCAAGGCUCCUCUCAACUGCCAGAAGAGGCUAACACAACAUUGUAAAGCAAUUAUCCUCCAACUGCAAAGAGAGAGACAGACAGACCAUGUACAAGUUAGCGGCAUCCCUGGUCCAGCCUACUUACUGUGUCAUCACCAGAAAGACCCACAAGGAACACAGACUGGAAUUCCAACAAGGUCAGAAGCCACUGUCAGGCUACCUUCAGGGGAUGGUCAUGGGACUUCAGCAGUGCCUGAGAUUAGACCUGAUCUAGCCAACUGAAGA